rnacentral:rRNA from 1 species
GAAAGAUCCAUUAUCGUACAAAAUGUGUGAGGCAUGCGAGGGCUGUAGCUGAUUCAA